CAGGGCCAUUGGAAAACCACACAGCUACAAUGAAGAUGGGAAUCCUUGAAACAGUUAGCAUCAGGAGCAUGAUGAAGUUUAAGAGCCCUGUCAACUGUGCUGAAUGUCUGCUGUCCUGGAAGAGGAGAUGGUGCUCGACAAUAGGACGCUUUAUCAGUGCAUCGUUUGUGCUUUUGGAUUAUAGUAUCUACUCAACCUGGAAUACAAUGACUAAAUAGGUUUACAUGGUAAAUAUUUGAAAACAGAUGCAGCUUUAUGUGCUUGAAGUUCCUCUUGAAGAUUUUUUUUUACUUUUCUUGAAACUUUUAUAAGUUUUUUUUUUGUUCUGGAAUCAUCUGUGUCAACUGGGUAAAGUAACCCAUUGUUUAGAUUUGAUGGUGCUUUUGACAAUUUUAAUAUUCAUUAAUUAAUUUUCCUUCUGCUUAGUCCCCUGUUUAUGAGGGGGAGCCACAGCGGAAUGAACCGUUCAUUGUUUAUAUGCAAAUAUAUUAGAUGUUUAAUGUUAAUGAAUGGGUUUAACCAUUAAAAAUGUGAUUUCAUAAGUUCAGAUUAUCUUUUGUAGAAUGAAAGUAUUCAGUUUUUUUUUUUUACAUUUUUGCAGAUAUUUGAGAUAUAUAUUAAGUACACUUCAGCUCUAUGUAUUGACCUUAUUCCUCACGUACGAGCAGGCGCAGCCAUUUGAAUCUUUUUGGCUGGAGAUUUCCGCUCUCAUUCACUUCCUUUGAUUUUUAGACGUUAAAAACUGUUUGUUUUGAUGCUUGAUGUUGCAAUCUGAUAUUUUCUUAAUAUAUUAUUCUGCUUUGUCUAUAGAGUCAUAAACACACUAGUUUGUAGAGCAAGUAGUUUGUCUGUUUUCCGCUGUUUAAUAUUCCUAGUCAUUUCUCCCAUAGGGCACUGAAUCAGAUGUUCGAAAACAAAUCGGAAAAACUUCCGCCUUAAAGAAUGAGGUCAAUAUUAGGAGAAAUUAAAUGCUAGAAUUUAUACGGUAUACUUUGUUGAAAUGUGUAAUGUAUUUGUUAUUCUAAAGUACUUUUACAAUAGUGUCUCUUUAAUAAAAAUAAAUAAAUAAAU
rnacentral:lncRNA from 1 species